UGAUGACAAUUUCUCCGGAAUCUCUGAAUUGCAUUGAUGAAACUUCUGAACCCCUUGUCUGAUGACAGCCGUGUACAAC